rnacentral:rRNA from 1 species
UACGUAGGGUGCAAGCGUUGUCCGGAAUUAUUGGGCGUAAAGAGCUCGUAGGCGGUUUGGUAGGUCCGCUGUGAAAACUCGAGCUCAACCUCGAGACGCCGGUGGAAACCAUCAGACUAGAGUCCGGAAGAGGAGAGUGGAAUUCCUGGUGUAGCGGUGAAAUGCGCAGAUAUCAGGAAGAACACCCGUGGCUAAGGCGGCUCUCUAGUACGGUACUGACGCUGAGACGCGAAAGCGUGGGGAGCGAACAGG